rnacentral:rRNA from 1 species
UACGGAGGGUGCAAGCGUUAAUCGGAAUUACUGGGCGUAAAGCGUGCGUAGGCGGCUACUUAAGUGGGAUGUGAAAGCCCUGGGCUCAACCUGGGAACUGCACCUCAAACUGGGUAGCUAGAGUACGGCAGAGGAGUGUGGAAUUUCCUGUGUAGCGGUGAAAUGCGUAGAUAUAGGAAGGAACACCAGUGGCGAAGGCGACACUCUGGGCUGAUACUGACGCUGAGGUACGAAAGCGUGGGGAGCAAACAGG